UUCAUAAUACCAAAAUAGCAAUGGUGUUUUCUUCAGUGUUCUCUCCCACCCUCAACCUUGCUAUGUCUUCUUCUCAUUCUUGUUAUUUUUCCUCCAAUAAGUACUGUUACAGUUACAGAAGGAGAAGGACACAAAACACAAGAAGAAGAACAGUGAGAGUGAGAGGUAGCAGUAGCAGUAGCAGCUCCUCCAAUGAAAAGGACAA
rnacentral:lncRNA from 1 species